rnacentral:rRNA from 1 species
UACAGAGGUCCCGAGCGUUACUGAGAAUCACUGGGUUUAAAGGGUGCGUAGGUGGUCCGUUAAGUCAGUUGUGAAAUCCCCGGGCUCAACCCGGGAACUGCUUCUGAUACUGGCGGACUUGAGGCCAGUAGGGGUCACUAGAACUGACGGUGGAGCGGUGAAAUGCGUAGAUAUCGUCAGGAAUGCCGGUGGUGAAGACGGGUGACUGGGCUGGUUCUGACACUGAGGCACGAAAGCGUGGGGAGCGAACGGG